GUGGCCGAAACCUGGGAGAGGGAGGGACAGUGGCUCCAUGCCGUCCCGGCCCUGCUUCAGCUGGGACGUCGCCCACCCGCCCUCUCCUCUCAAACCUCUGGAGCUAUCUGAAUGAGCGACUUCUGCGCAAAUGACUACUCUACGGGUUCUCCUAGUCAAUACACGUCAUGGCUACGGGGGCCGAGCAGCGACAGACGCAGUUCCACGGCUAACGAUGUGAGCGACUUCACUAUCAGCGCAAUCAGUGAGCUGCAAGCACAAGGACUCUUCACCCGAAGAUUAGAGGUGCAUCACUAACCCUAUAUGCGGAGAUCUCUGGAAAACACUCUGGCGGUGCUGCUGUGUAAAGGUUGGACAGUUAACCAGAAGGUCAGUAGGUCAAACCUACCAUCUACUCUGCAGGAGAAAAAACGAGGCUAGCUCCAUUUGGAAAGCUUUACAACCUUGGAAACUCUACAGAGGGUCACUAGGUUGGGGUUGGGCGGAAAUCUCUAAAGCUAAAAGAGUAAAGAUCUCAGCCACUUGCCAACUUCUCCUUCAAAUGCUACUAGAUAUUCUCCAUUGCUGUAGAACUACGCAGCUUUAGUAGCAAUGCUAACAGUAUACUUGAAGCUCUGUCAAACAUCAGUUUAAGACACGGCUCCAACAGUACCCCCUUGAAGUAACUCACUGCCACGGAGUAGAUUCUGAAUCAUAGAGACCGUAUAGGACAGGGUCGAACUGGCCCUGUGGGUUCCCACAUUGUAACUCUUUCAGGGAGUAGAAAACUGAAUCUGGGAUUAACUUGACAAUAGUAACUAGAAAUGUUAGAUAGGAAACAUAUCCAGGAAAUGAAUAAGUUGGAAAAGGCGGGAGAAUGAGUUACAAGUUGAAGAAUGUAACCAGCGUCACUGAAAUGUAAACGUUAAGUUGGUAUGGUAUGUGAUUUGCUGAGUAUAUAUUCAACAGCAAUAAAAAUAAAAAUAAGUUAUCUUUAGAAAUAAAA